AUUGAACGCUGGCGGCAGGCUUAACACAUGCAAGUCGAACGGAGUGGCGGACGGGUGAGUAAUGCUUGGGAAUCUGGCUUAUGGAGGGGGAUAACGACGGGAAACUGUCGCUAAUACCGCAUACUGAAGGAGGGGAUUGCGUCUGAUUAGCUAGUUGGAGGGGUAACGGCCCACAAAGGCGAUGAUCAGUAGCCGGUCUGAGGGGAUGAACGGCAACAUUGGGACUGAGACACGGCCCAGACUCCUACGGGAGGCAGCAGGGGGGAAUUUUGGACAAUGGGCGCAAGCCUGAUCCAGCCAUGCCGCGUGUCUGAAGAAGGCCUUCGGGUUGUAAAGGACUUUUGUCAGGGAAGCGGUACCUGAAGAAUAAGCACCGGCUAACUACGUGCCAGCAGCCGCGGAUAC
rnacentral:rRNA from 1 species